rnacentral:rRNA from 1 species
GAGUGCUUGCACUCAAUUGGAAAGAGGAGUGGCGGACGGGUGAGUAACACGUGGGUAACCUACCCAUCAGAGGGGGAUAACACUUGGAAACAGGUGCUAAUACCGCAUAACAGUUUAUGCCGCAUGGCAUAAGAGUGAAAGGCGCUUUCGGGUGUCGCUGAUGGAUGGACCCGCGGUGCAUUAGCUAGUUGGUGAGGUAACGGCUCACCAAGGCCACGAUGCAUAGCCGACCUGAGAGGGUGAUCGGCCACACUGGGACUGAGACACGGCCCAGACUCCUACGGGAGGCAGCAGUAGGGAAUCUUCGGCAAUGGACGAAAGUCUGACCGAGCAACGCCGCGUGAGUGAAGAAGGUUUUCGGAUCGUAAAACUCUGUUGUUAGAGAAGAACAAGGACGUUAGUAACUGAACGUCCCCUGACGGUAUCUAACCAGAAAGCCACGGCUAACUACGUGCCAGCAGCCGCGGUAAUACGUAGGUGGCAAGCGUUGUCCGGAUUUAUUGGGCGUAAAGCGAGCGCAGGCGGUUUCUUAAGUCUGAUGUGAAAGCCCCCGGCUCAACCGGGGAGGGUCAUUGGAAACUGGGAGACUUGAGUGCAGAAGAGGAGAGUGGAAUUCCAUGUGUUAGGCG